ensembl:lncRNA
ACAUACAUCAGAGUACGUAGGAGGAGGUUUUAUUUUGGUUCAGAAUUGCCCAAACGAUCUCAGGCAUGGUGGUGAUGUGGGCCAACUGACCUUGAGCCAGGUGAAAUCAUUAGAAAACAUGAUGAGCAAUAGUAGUGGGAGGCUUCCUCCUGUGAGGGUUAGAGGUACCUAUCUCCUGACCUGACCUCCUUCUAUAGAAAUUUUCUAUUUGCUUUCAGUCUGGAUCCAAAACUUUGUAGAGAGAUUCCCCUUGUGACUACUACCUUUUCCUGAUCUUUUACAAUAGCACUAAUGAUGCUGCAAGGGGCAACGUGGAAAGCAUUGAAAGAGACUACCGAAAUGUGGGGAUCCUUGUAUUCUCCUCUUUACUACCUGAUGAGAGGAAAGGAUGCAAGGAGGAAAGUACUCAUACUGCAGGUCAGCAACUAAACAUAGGGCAGGUGUUGACUACAGAGAUAUCUGUGGCCACUAGGACACUAUUAGGACAACAAUAAUUGUCUAGGAGAUUCGUACUACCUCAUCAAGCUGGGUAAAGGUAUUUGUCAGUAGGAUGACUGGCACAGUAAGGAGGGUUCUCAUCUAGGAAUGAUGGGGGAGGGAGGGAAUUAACAGACAUUUUGUGAAAGAAAUGUUAGAUAGUGUUAACAAGUGAUGUGAAAGGGAAUAAAAAAUAAAAUAAAAUAAUCAAUAAAGCAGUACUUCAGGAAGUGCCUUGCCUCCUGCAACUGGUGAGAAUCAGCUCCAUUUCACCAGUACGUAGUGGGUCUGGCUAGCUGGAAAAGAACCUGGCAUCCUGAUGGACUCACAGUUGAAUUGCAAGAGAGAUAUGAAGCUCCUGGAACAAGUUCACUGAAGGGCUACUAAAAUCCUGAAGUGACUGGAGUAUCUCCUUCAUGAGGAAAGGAACCUGUUUAGCUUGAAGAAAAGAAGGCUUAGGAGGAUCUCAUCCAUAUGUAUAAAUACCUGAAGAGAGAGUGCAGUGAAGAUGGACCCAGGGUCUUUUCAGUGGUGCCCAGUGACAGGACAACAUCACAGACACAGACUAGCAGACAGCAAGUUUCCUCUGAACAUCAAGCAGUGCUUCUUUACUGUAUGGGUGACAGAGCAGUGGAACAGGUUGCCCAGAAAGGUUAUGGAUUUUCCUUCCUUGGAGAUAUUCAAAAUCUGGCUGGACAUGGUUCUAAACAACCUGCUCUGGAUGCCCCUACUUGAGCAGGAGGAUGGGAUUAGAUGACCUCUAGAGGUGUCCUCCAACCUCAACCAUUCUGUGAUCCUGUGAACAUAAUUACUGGAUAACAGCAGCUCUGAAAAGUAUUUGGAGAAAGGAGUCAUGUGGUCCCAAGGAAAA